UUAUAGAAUUAGGAAUUAGGUUAAGUAUUUAUUCACAAACUUUUUGGCGUUCCAAUCAAAAUUUUCCGUUGCUGUAUUACCCACAAUAUCAUAUUAAACUAUUAAUAUGAAAAAUAUAAUUAAUUAAUUUAAUUUAAAAUGUUGACAAAUUAUAUUAAAAAUAAAAAUAAAUGAAAAAUGUCCGCCAGGUGAAAGCAUGUUCACCAUGAAAAGGAAAGACUCGGAAUUAUAAAACCUACAAUUCAAUUCUCUUGAUCAAUGGUUUUAUUGGAAAAUGCUUCUAUUUCCAAUGUUGAUCAAUUUUAUUUUAUCCUGAUUUUAUCUCUAAUGACGAAACAUAAUUUAUUAUGGUGUUGAAUUAUAAGCUUGGCAUUCAUGUCAACUAUAACUCAUAUACGUCAAAUCCAAACUGAAUACCUUCCCCAAGAUGUGACUCAAACUCGACUGUGACUACCCUUUAUUAAUAUGGUGAUGUAGGGUAACAGCGAGGUGUAUCAAUUAUGUUGGCGAUACCGAUCAUAUGUAUCGUAUUUACGAAUAGCAAUUACGCUUUUUAACUACAAGCUUGACAUGUCAGUCAAGUUUAACACAGAUGGAAUAAAUCCCUGUGGAAACGGGAUUACUUCAAAGUUUAAAACAUUCUUUUAAUGUUUAGAAAAAUUAAUAUCCUGUGAAUAAAACUCCCAGAUGUGACCAAGCUCGACUGUGACUACCCAAUAUGAAAAUUGAGUUGUAGGAUCGCAGCGAGGUUUAUCAAGUAUGAUGGCGAUACCGAGAAUCGUUUUUUCUUAAUGCUUGUUUAAUACUUGUCUUAUAUUCGAUAAUAUGGAUUUUCUUAAAUAAAAUACAGAUUACGGUACUAGAAAACGCUUGACUUCAAAAACAAAAUAAAUGGAAAGUUUUAGGUUUGUCUAAAUUGCAAUGGAUGUCUAAUUUGACAUCGAUUACGUUGAAGUGUUAUUCGUAUAUUUAUGUCAAAAUUUUUGUAAAUAAAUUAAUUGUCAACUUA